rnacentral:lncRNA from 1 species
UCGCCGUCCGGCCUACCCGUUCCGGACAUGGCCUCGCAGUCCUUCUUGGUCAUGGGCUUCCUCCGCAUGCAACCUAAUCGCCGCUAGCCUUCCGGAUCGGCAGUCAAAUUUCCGCGUUAAAUUCGUCCUGUGACCGCAGAGCUACAAGUUCAUCUACGGGUGCCGCCUGCGGUGUCGUUCGUGGCUGUACCAUCUCGUGCUGUGCUGGUUUCGGGCUGCCUUCGUGCCAUCAGUGCUUCUCUCGCUGACGACCGCGGACCUCUGCUGCCACCAUCUGCUCUUCCGACGGAUUCACACUCCCGUUUCGCUGCGGAAUCCUAGAACAGCCGAAAGACGCUAUGGACAACGCCUGUAUUAAAUAAACCCUCUUUAAUGAUG